CAUUUUGGUUCAAUGGUUUUGGAGAAAGAGAGCUUCUGGUUCAUUUCAAGAUUCAGCCAUUGGACACGUCUUCAACGUCCAGGAUUUUAGAGAUUGGCAGCUUUCUUUCCCCUAAUAGAAUUUCAACUUAAAUCUAUUGCUUUAGUACUUCUUUCAAUUCACUGAUUUAUUCACUGGCUCAAUCAAAUGGAUAUUUUGCAAGUGGUUUAAGUAUUUGGUGGCCCCACCCGAUCUCAGCUCUGCCUUUCCCGCCUCUCUGCUGGGUUGCAUAAGCCAGCGAUUCCCAACCCCGGCUGCACCUGGAAGCUACCCCAGGAGCUUCUGGAGAAUGUGCCGUGUGAGCCAUCCCCCUGCACUGAGCCCUGGUGGGUCAGCGGUGGGGGCGCCCAGGCGUGGGGGUCUAUUUAAAGCUCCCAGGUGCUGUGCGGCCAAGAUUAAGAGGCACUGCUCCAAACUGUCCUGGCAACUCUGACUGUACCCGGCACUCCCCACGCCCAACCUCCCUUCUGCCCCUGGGCAGGUUGGCAUCCAGUGUCGGGGAGAACCCUGGAGGCGAACGCCAGCCUUAUAGAGCCCCACUGUUGGGAGGCCUGCAGGUUGGACAAGGCGAGGUCUGAGUCACCUUGGUUGGGAGCAGAUGCUGCCCUGUUGGUGGCCUGCCAGCCUCUGUCCCCACCCCACCACUCAGAGACAUGGUGUGCCUGCACUUUCCUGAUCCGGGAGCUCCUGCCUUGCUGCCCAGAUGACCUUUGGCCUAGGAAGAAGUCAAAUCUCAGUGUUUUGGACCGGGCACGGUGACUCACAACUGGAAUCCCAGCACUUUGGAAACCCGAGGUAGGUGGAUCACUUGAGGCCAGGAGUUCGAGACUAACCUGGCCAACAUGGUGAAACCCCAUCUUCACUAAAAAUACAAAAAUUAAGGCGUGGUGGCAGGCACCUAUAAUCCAAACGACUCAGGAGGCUGAGGCAGUUGAAUUGCUUAAACCUGGGAGGCGGAGCUUGCAGUGAGCCGAGAUCGCACCACUGUACUCCAGCCUGGGCGGCAGAGCAAGACUCCGUCUCAAACAAAAACAAAAACAAAACAAACAAAAACAAAUCUCAGUGCUUUUGAUGAACAGUAUUUUCCUGCACCGGGAGCCUUGUGGUCGUGGCUUCAUGGAGGAGGUGUUGGUGACUUUCAUUCACUCACUCACUAUUCUACAAGUGUUUCCUUGGGUGCUUCUCCUUACUGUGAGUCUGCAGGGACUUGGAGGGAGACGCUGCGCCGGCCUCUGGGCCCAGGAGAUGUAACAUAAAUGGCCAUGCAAAGACAGUGGGUCAGGUCCCUCGUCAGUGGAUUCCCAUUCGAGGAGGUGCUCAGAGAAGGGGACAGACUUCCAGGAAGUGGCACUGAGGCGGGGGCAGAUUUCAACAGGGGUGGGGCGUUCUUGGUGAGGAAACUGCAUGAGUGACGGUUUGGAAGUGGGAGCGUCAGUGUCUUUUGGGGAGCCCGCGCUGCCUGGGAGGUAAGGGAGAGGUCCGAAUGCCGUCGCAGACAGCCUGAUGGUUUGCUGAAGGAGUCUGGAUCCUUUUCAAGUCCCAGUGAAGCCUGGUGAUAUGGCCUUGGGCAAGUCAGUGGCUCUCUCUGCCUCAGUCUCCUCAACUGUAGCUGGGGGUAACAGUGAGACCCGCCUCAACGUGGUUGUGAGGAGGGUGGGGGGUGGGGGAUGUGGAGAAAGUGCUAAGAACAGCGUCUGUGGGGCCGCAGAAGUGUUUUGCAUAAUGUCACCAAGAUUAGUGCUAUUUCUUCCCCAGAAGAUCAGAUGGAGACUCACGGAAGGUUUUUAACCUGUGGGGACGUGCGGCCAAAUUGUGCUUUAGGAAGCUUAUGCUGGCAGUGAUGUGUGGUAUGAAGGAGGGCAAGGGAGAUGGGCCCUGUAGGAGGCAGAUUCGGCCACCUAAGCCUGAGCUGAUUAGGACAGGAGGGAAGGUGGAGGCAGUCAGCAGAGAAAGGAAGGGACGUGGGGAGGGGAAGCAGAGAGGAAGGCGUUGGAGGGACAGGGCCUGACUUAGUAACCCCGGGGCCUUGAGCAGUUCUGGACGAGGUGGGAGGGGAGUGAGCAGGGGACGGGAGAGACUCCAGCCCCACCAGGCUGAGCCGUGUCCACACCCUGCCGGGUCAGAGUUACUGCUGGUACCAUCGGGAGGGUGGGCCAACCAGGCCCAUCUGGCCUCUUGCCUGUCAGAUGGUGGAAGCAUGUCAGAGUUCUCAGAAUCCUGGAGCCACUGAGAGCCGGAGGAGCCCUUGUCCAAGACUCAGGCUGUGAUCGGAACAGGGUAGAAGGUGCUGCUUCUAACCCUGGGGCCUGCCUGUCUCCAGAAUUUGGAGAAAAGGAAAGUCCUGGACUCCUCUCAAGCCAGGAAGGUGCUGACCAGGAGGGGAGGGUCAGGGAGAGGGGAGUCAGCAGGGACAGCUGCCUCUCCUCCGCCUGCAGGCCCAGGCCCUUCCUAAUCUCCAGCUCCACCAGCUUCAAGGCAGAAUCUGAAUCCACACAGAGUCUGAGGUAUCUUGGAAACCCUCUCCUUCCCUCUUGGAUGUGUGGACUGUCAGACAUUGUGAAGAGGAGAAGAGGAAGAGGAAAGACGCUGCCCCCAGUAUGCAGACAGAGAGCACCCCGUUCCAGAGAGGCCAGCGCUCCAGGAGUGACAGCUGCUAAUGCCCUUCUUCCUUCAGUCUCCCUGCCCCAGCUACCCUCUCCCUCCCUCCUCUCCCUCCUUCCCUUUCUUCCCGCAGCAAAACACACGGAGCCCAGUGAUCUGCAGGCACAGUGCCGGGCCCUAGCGCUCCAUGGGCACAAGUGACAGCUGUGGCCGAGGUCGGGGAGGGUGCUGGACUGGAAGCCUUGGGAGGCUCUGAGCACACAGGAUUUGGGGCUGAUACUAUUGAGGGUCAGAGGCUGCUGGACUGGGUUGUAAAGCAUCUGAGGCUUUGAAGACCAUUUGGAUAAUUGGGUGUUGCAGGCUCAGGGUGAGUUUGGGGCUUCCUGGAGACUUUGGGGUGCAGAGUAGCCCCUUCCCAGGCCGGCUCUCUGCCUGCCUUUGGACCUGGGAUGUUUCUGCUGGGAAGCAAGUGGACUGGUGCCUUGGAGAGGAUGCCUGUGGGGAGGGGCUGGACUGCUCACAGGGCCUCCUGAUCCUCGUUUCUCAGUGUCACUGAUGUUCAAUUCUGAAAGUUCUGCCUUUAGAGUUAUCUCAAUAGCCCAAUGUGCCUCCUUCCUGGCAUGGUUGUCCAGGGGCAGACACCCUUCUGGGGUUGGCCUGUUUGGGAGAAGCCUGAGAUCUGCAGAGAAGUCUGCCAGGCGGCCUGGGACUAAAAGCUGCAGAAGGUGGGGCAUGAGGAAGCAGUGGGCAGGCAGAAGGAGUGGGCAGGUGGUCUGCUGCUGCCUCGGGGAUGCAGCUUGAGCUGGACUUUCUGCCUGGCUCCGUCUUGUCACCGAGUUCGCAGCAUAAACGUCAUCCCUCAGAGACGCUGACUCGAUCUCUAAUAAAAGCUAUCAGCCUGUCCCCCUUUACUACGAGACCCCUCUUAGCUCUGCAGAGCAUCCAUCACAGUUAGGCAUUUUUGCCUUUUUUUCCAUCCACCCACGCUUCCCACCCCACCAGGACGUGAGCUUGGACUUCAUCUUGUCAUCCCAGCAGCAAGGAGUCGAUUUUGCAGGAUGGAUGGAAAACACAGAGAGGACCAGCUGUUUCAUUUCUAGGCACCUCACUUCUAACCUGGAACCGGUUCCGAGAGGAAGGACCAGGAAGACCCAUGUGUCGGGAAUGGUGGACAGAAGGAGUGUGCUCAGCUGCCGCCGAGAAGACCACACGCUGGGUGCUGAAAAGAUGGGGGGACCUGCUAGGAACCAUGGCCCUGGGCUAAGUCGGGGAUGAAGGCGGGAGCUGCUGUGCUGGACUGCAGCUCAGCACAGAGACAGUGAGCCUAGAUUGCAGAGCUGCCCAGGGAGGGAUGUCACCUUGGGGGAUGGAGGCUGCAGGUGCUCCUCAGACCUUAGGGAAACAUUUGGGAGGGAGCUUGUUGAGGAGAUACAGGCACCUCAGGGUGGCUGGGCUGGAUGGACUUUGAUGACCCUUCCUUUUUUGAGACCUGAUGGUUCUCUAAUUUGGGAAUCAUUUCCAAAGAUGGGUCUAAAAAUCCUUGUUUCAUUGGAAAUAAUGAGUUUGCUAUGAUGCUUAAGACCAAGCAUGUCACCAUUUGUUAUUACUGCACUUUUCCCUGCCGUUUUCCUUUCCUUUUAUUUUUAAUGGAUGAUGUUAGGUUGCAAUGACAUUUUGUUUCUAUAUAAAUAUUUAAAGGUCUUCAUAAACAUAUAAAUGUCUUCAUACAUUUUUGUUUGCUUCUAGAACAAUGUGUAUCCUACUAUUGUAUUUUUGCUACAGUAUAUGAACGUGGAGGUGUGCAUAAGACAGUAAAACACUAUUCACCAAAAGAUAAAAAAGAGAUAUUUGCAGGAUGUGGAAUUAUGAACAUUUUUUUGUUUUUAUAUGUUUUCUAAUUUUGCUUCAACAAGCACAUACCUGUUUUUACAAAAGAAGAAAAACAGAUGAUGAAUAACAUAGGUGCAUCAUUUAUAUCCACGAUGAGCCAGAGCCAGCUCCUGACUCAUGAGACUGACUUUGUGAGCUCUUCACUGCUGCAGGGAUACAGCUGCAUGAAAUACAAUGAAUCAGCUGUAUCACGUUGGCAACUUGAAACUGGCCCUGGUGGUAGUAUUUACACCACAGCAAUUGGCAAAUGCUACAAAUCAGGUCCUUUUUCCCUUGGAAAGCUGGUUGUUAACCAUGUACCAGUCCACCGCUAUUUAUAUUAUUCAUCAAUCAGUAAAAAAUAUUUAAGCAGUAGAGGGGUAUGGGGUAUGGUUUUCAAAAUCCGUAAAUGACAUGAAAAAUAAUUUGUUUUCGAGUUUUCCAUAACUACAGAGCUUUACAGUUUCUAUUCCUCCCUCACAUACAUGAUCUCAUUUAAUCCUUAGGACAAUGCUAAAAUAUUCUUAUUUUAUAGAUGAAAUACUUAUUUCAGAUUUUAUGACAGGUAAACUCUGGUAGAAUUGGAUUGUUCUAGAUGAACUGGAUGUUCUACUAGAACAUCCACAUUGACUUUGAGAAAUUCGGAAUGCCUCUAAAAGCCACCUAGAACUGGAGUUUUCGUCUUUUCUGAGAGUUUUAAAUGUGUAGGAGAACUUUUUGAAAAUCCUCCAUCAGUAUAAAAUCAUUUCAAUUGUGUUUCAUGAGGCUGCAGUUGUGUAAUUUUGACAUUUCUUUCUCAGUGUCCACCCCUUCUCCGCUCAGCCUAGCACCAUGUGCAUCCCACCCUCGUUCCUUCAAGACCUUUCCUGUGGCCUGAUUGAUUGUGCUAAGGGCCCAGUUUGGUCUGGACAGGAAGACAACAGAAGGGAGUGAGGUCAGAGGGGACCGUUGGAUGGAGGGUUGGAAUGUGAAAAGGGGUCACCAGCAGAUUUCAACACAGGUACUUUUUGCCUGGAGCAUUUAGGACCUGAUGCAUUCCAAAUAAACAAUAGGUUUUUGCUUUUGUUUUUGUUUUUUUGAGACACGGUCUCUCUCUGUUGCCCAUGCUGGAGUGCAGUGGCACAUUCCUAGCUCUCUGCAGCCUCAAACUCCUGGGCUCAAGCAAUCCUCCCACCUAGGGCUCUUGCGUACACAGGACUGCAGGUGCACACCACCAAGCCCAGCUAGUUGUUUCUUUUUUUCUUUCUUUUUUUUUGUUUUUGAGAUGGAGUCUCAUUCUGUCACUCAGGCUAGAGAGCAGUGGCACAGUCUUGGCUCACUGCAACCUCCUCCUCCCGGAUUCAAGUGAUUCUUGUACCUCAGCCUCCUGUGCAGCUGGGAUUACAGGCCGGUUCAUUUUUGUAUUUUUAGUAGAGAUGGGGUUUUGCCAUGUUGGCCAGGCUGGUCUUGAACUCCUGACCUCAGGUGAUCCACCCGCCUCAGCCUCCCAAAGUGCUUGGAUUACAGGUGUGAACCACCGCGCCCGGCCUUGUUUCUUUUUUUUUUUUUUUUUUUUGUAGAGAUAGAGUCUUGCUAUGUUUCCUUUGCUGGUCUUAAACUUCUAGGCUCAAGGGAUCCUCCUGCUUUGGCCUCCCAAAAUGCUGGGAUUAUGGACCUAAGCCACCCUGCCAGGUCCAAAUUUGAUGUCCAAAUGCAAACAAUCCCAGUGACUGAAAAUAAACCAACAAUGUAUUUGGAAAAAUUAGUAUGAUACACAAUUUAGGAUAAAAUGUUUGGGAAGAAAUAAGCAAAAGUUGAGGAUAUGUUGCUGUCAUUUGUGAUGUUGGCAUGAAUAUCAUGGUGGGUCUCAUUUUGAGUCCCUUUAAAAGCCACUUUGUUAUUUUUAUGCUUCUGAUACUUAGAUUCCCAGAGAAAUAGUCAUCUACUGUAUUUUAGAAAGUAGAGUGGAAAUUUAUCUUAAACUACAGAGGAGAAAAAGGUCAAACUUCAGUAUUUUGAGUUAAAUGUACACAUUCAUUCAGUAAAUGUGUUUGGAUAACUGUUGCGAAGGCUCUGAUGAUGUGAUAUGAACAGGACAGAAAUGGUCUCUGUCCAUGCAGAACUUACCGUUCACUGGUGAGGGGGCCGUGGGUUGAAGGGGGUCUCCAAAAGGGUAUGUCCAGGCUCUAACACCCAGUCAUGUGAAUGGGCCCUUAUUUAGAAAUAGGGUCUUUGCAGAUGUAAUUAAGGAUCUCGAGGGGAGAUCAGCUGGAUUUAGGGUGGGCCGGAAAUCCACUGACUGUUGUCCUAAGAGAAGGGGACACAAACACAGAGACCCAGAGACCGCGGUCAUGUGAAGACGGAGGCAGAGACUGCACGGAGGGGUCCUGGCUGCCCUGGAUGAUCAGAGAGAUGUGGAGGGAUUCUCCCUCAGGGCCCUGCCUGUUGCAGGUGGUUAAUCAGGCACCAGCCGGGCAGCAGAGGGCUCCCCUGCCACCCACCAGGAAUGUCAGGGGAUCAUCGGGUGAGAGUUCAGCAGUUAUCCCACCGCCUAUCUAAAAACAAUCAUUGAUCACAGGCUCCAGGGAGAGGUGAUUCCCCAAACAGAUAAAAAGUCUCGAGAUGUGUAAUCGGCUUCCAACAAAGUCUCAGAAAUGGGGCGAGUAGGCUCGGGGAUGGGCAUUAAGAGACAAAACGGAGGAGUACGGCCUUUGAGGGCACUCCACUGGAAAAGGGAAGAAAGUCUCAGGGAGGGACACCCACCACUUCCUAAACUCAGGGCUCGGUGUUGGCCUCCCGGGGCUGAGGAGGGCACCGCGUGUGCAGGCGGCCCACCCUGAGGGAAAAAGCACGGAAGAGGAACGGGACCCCGGAAGGAUGCCAAUGUUUCCAGCCCCAAAUCCAAAGGUCAAAGGCUGCACUCGUCCUUCCAGGGGUCCGCUUGGGUCUCUUCCAGUUGUUCUUCCCUUUGUUUCCUGCUCCAGAGCUUUUUAAUAAACUUCCACCGCUGCUCUGAAAUUUGCCUUGGUCUCUUUUUCUGCCGUAUGCCCCUCUGUUGAAUCCUUUCUUCUGAGGAGGCAAGAAUUGAGGUUUUUGCCGACUUGCCAGUAACUCGGAUAUUUGCCACCCCUAACAUUCCCACACCUGUGGCUCAGACUUCUGGCCCCCAGAACUGAGAAACGACACAUUUCUGCUGUUUCAGGCCACCCAGUCUUGGUACCUUGCUACAUAGUUGUAGGAAACCAACACAAGGGGGUAAAAAAGGGCCAGACAUGUUGUUACAAGUGCAUGUCCUGAGGAGAAGCACGCUGGUGCCUGUGGCGUCCUCACCGCAGAGCGACCUGCAAUGAGUCCGCCGCUGCCCAGGUCUCCUCCCGUGUCCUGGAUCAACACAAAUUAGGAAAAUGAAAUGAGUGGUUACACAGCAAC
rnacentral:lncRNA from 1 species